UAGGGAAUCUUCGGCAAUGGACGGAAGUCUGACCGAGCAACGCCGCGUGAGUGAAGAAGGUUUUCGGAUCGUAAAGCUCUGUUGUUAGAGAAGAACGUUGGUAGGAGUGGAAAAUCUACCAAGUGACGGUAACUAACCAGAAAGGGACGGCUAACUACGUGCCAGCAGCCGCGGUAAUACGUAGGUCCCGAGCGUUUUCCGGAUUUAUUGGGCGUAAAGCGAGCGCAGACGGUUCUUUAAGUCUGAAGUUAAAGGCAGUGGCUUAACCAUCGAACGCUUUGGAAACUGGAGGACUGGAGUGCGGAAGGGGAGAGUGGAGUUCCAUGCGCAGCGGUGAAAUGCGUAGAUAUAUGGAGGAACACCGGUGGCGAAAGCGGCUCUCUGGUCUGUAACUAACGCUGAGGCUCGAAAGCGUGGGGAGCAAACAGG
rnacentral:rRNA from 1 species